rnacentral:rRNA from 1 species
AGCGAACGCUGGCGGCAGGCUUAACACAUGCAAGUCGAGCGGGCACUUCGGUGUCAGCGGCAGACGGGUGAGUAACACGUGGGAACGUACCCUUUGGUUCGGAAUAACGCUGGGAAACUAGCGCUAAUACCGGAUACGCCCUUUUGGGGAAAGGCUUGCUGCCGAAGGAUCGGCCCGCGUCUGAUUAGCUAGUUGGUGGGGUAAUGGCCUACCAAGGCGACGAUCAGUAGCUGGUCUGAGAGGAUGAUCAGCCACACUGGGACUGAGACACGGCCCAGACUCCUACGGGAGGAAGCAGUGGGGAAUAUUGGACAAUGGGCGCAAGCCUGAUCCAGCCAUGCCGCGUGAGUGAUGAAGGACUUAGGGUUGUAAAGCUCUUUUGUCCGGGACGAUAAUGACGGUACCGGAAGAAUAAGCCCCGGCUAACUUCGUG